ensembl:lncRNA
CCCAGCGCUUCCUUGCUCCAGCUAUUGACUAUCUAAGCAUCUCUAAGUGUUAAGAUGAAUGAUAAUUGAGCAGUAAGCAUUAAUUCACACCCGUUUUUUUCCCCUUACUCACUCCCCCAUCCACAGGCACUGUAAAAACCCCUCCUUGUGCCUGCUGCUUUUUUUCCUCAUCCAGGCAGCCCUCCUGUAGUAAGGGAUGGGUACCCUCACUCUAGGAAUACCUGACUUUAAAUUUCCAGGAUGCUGAGCAGAAAAGUUCUAGCACCCGAAACACUUCUGCUUUUAGCAGAGUGGCUAUUUUGGCUUUGGGUCUGUGUGUGACUAAUAUGUUGUAGAUACCUGGCUGCAGUGAGGUCAGAGCAGGGGCAAGCUGUCUCUUCUGCAGUGAAUUAGAGGCUUACAUUCAUUAUCUUCCAAUACCUCAUUAAAAAAGCUUUAAUGUGGUGAACAUUUGAUGGUAGACAAAAGCUUUAAUCUUGCGAAUAUCAAACACACCUGUGUUACAUUUCCUCUUGCGAGCAGUUAGCAGAAACAGGUUAACAAGCUAUUUUAACUCCUUAAUCUGCUGAAUUUGUGUGGAAACCAGACUUUCACCAGUCACCUGAGUUUGAACUCAGAAAAAAAAAAAAAAGCAGCCCGCUAACACCCCUAAUUUAUCAAGCUCUUUUUUCAAACUCUGACUGCUCUAGACACUUUUAAUCAUCUGUUUAAUUUUGCACCUUUUUUUUUUAUCCUGAUAUAUUAUAUGCAGGUUAUACUUAAGGCCCAGAUUUGCCCUAUUUUUCUUCCUCAUCUGACCUAGAUUCAAAUUUACACACUGUGAAAUAGCUAAUAAAUCCCCAUUAAGGUUGUAAAAGGUGAAGGUUCAACCAAUGUGCAAGUCAUCAAGUUCUAAUGUAAAACUGAAUGAGCCUUGAUAUUAGCAGCAGCCUCAAAAAGUGAGGCUGAAAGGCUCUACAGGUUUCCAGCUUUUUUUAUGGGAGGCCAUGCUUAAAUCACCUAAUCCGAGACAGCUCUGCUAAGCCCGUACAACAACAGUGACAACAACAGGCCUCAAUAACAGCAAGGAAAAAAUAACGGCCUUCCUCCAAACAUGGGAUGCUGGUGAUUUUAAUUUGUACCACCAACACACUAAGCAUUCCAUAUAUUUUACUGCAAGUAAAUGCAGUUCAAUAAAUAUUUCCUAAUAAAUGCUACAACCUCUGAAUACAAACAUUCACGCAAAGCCCUCAUAAAACUUUUCUUUUGUGUAUCUCUCCACAUUUCUGAAACAGAGGUGUUUUUAGUUGGCUGUUGGAGGCUCAGAAAAGUACUUUGUCAGUCCAACUUGAGAGCGUUUUUUUUUUCUUUCUAGCCAUAGAAAGUAUUACAAUGAUUUACAGAGACAUGCUGAAAGUAAAUUAUGUUGUAAACGCCUGUCCCUUGGGUCGACAAAGAAUCACAGGGAAAAAAUGCAAAAAGUUUGAAAUUCCCAACAGCAAAGGUUGACAGGAAAAUAUGGUGUUGUUUUUCUAUGAGUAAAAGUAACUUUUAUGUUGUGUUUUCCCAUGAGAAAUUAUAAACUUUCAAAGGAAUUUUAGUCUCUUGUAUGCACACAUAAGAGCAAUUUAUCUGGUACUGCCCCAGUGAAAACACUGUUAAGACUUUAAAGCUGUUAGAACUAUGGCUGAACUUCAUCUAGACUGCUACUACUUAUUUGUUCUUGCUGCCUCUUCUUGUCAAAACAUUUACUCAGACUUCGAAGAGUUGCAAGUUGGCAACGUGUUAAUAAUAUUAGAAUGCAUUUGUGUCGGCCAUGUGGCUGCAAUAUUUGAGUAAAUUCAUCACUUAUUUAAUGAAUAAUGAAUUCACGAGAGUAGCUAUGGAGACGUAGAACCAUAUGUAGUAAAUUAAAUGGGAACUUGUCAACGUACAGUAACAGCGAAUGUCACCAAAGUAGUUUUGUCUGUUUUAUAGCAGCAGUGAUGCACUUACAUUGAGAUUGGUGUGUGUACUUUUCUUACUACGUAUAGUUCAGUCACAUUUUUUCACACUUAAGUUGUAACAGUGAUUUCCUGUAACAGGUGUGACAACAAAGCGAGAAUUUACACAAGUUACUCUUUGGUAGCAAAGGUGGAAGAACUUCAAGAUACUCAGCCUGCAAGUAAUUAACAUCUUAAAAGAUAGUUACAGAACUGCAGAGGAUUGUUUAUUUUUUUUUUGGAAAAGGUCACAAAAGAAAGAGGUGAAUGGACGUUACUCAGAUCAGUUCUCAGCUGCCCUAGAACAUGAUGGAAACUCCAGACAUCAACGAUUUCUUCUAAGACAAUCAGCAGGGAAAAAUCGGGCCUAGAGAACAGCAGCAGCUCCAAAAAGAGGGAAGUUAAUAAGAAAUUGUGAAAAUAGGGUGGUGAAUUAUUGCAGAAAGUUGGGCCCACAUUUCUGUUUGUAUUCAGAGCUGUGAGCAGCUUUUUGGCCAUCAUGUCAGGUCUCACUGGCACUGUGUGCCCCAUUCACAAUGUUCAGUGGUUAGCUGUACAUCUAAGAGUUGGAGGCUGAAGUCCAAGGGCCUUCGUAACCCCUUCUCACAUGGAUAAGAGCCCUAUUUCCCCAGUGAUCAGCUAUUCUGAUUCUCUUACUGAAGCUGUAUCAUAUACACUGGGUUUAAGGACUGUGUUAUUAUGUAGUUAGGAUGCAGAAGGAGGAAAAAUUCCAAUGACAGUUUUAAAGGAAUAUAACAAAAUCAGAUUCAAGAAAGUAGAAAACAGCCAUGUAGUACCUUCCCAGGAAUUUUAUUAGGAAUUGGGAGAUGACAACUCAGGUCAGUGAUUCCAGGUGGGCAGCUAAGGAAGCAUUUCAGGUUGGGUGAUCUUGAGCUUCCAACUCUGACAGUAUCCAAAGAUCUUAGAGAAUCUGUAUUCAUAGGCUCCAUCAACAAAAAGGUGAUAAAAACAUAAUGUGCAACUAGACUGUAUUCAUGAAGGCGUAGAUUUGGAGCUGUGUAAUACUAGCAAGCAUACCAUAUUUGUGUGCAUGGCUAAGUUAUACCAACCUGGAAAACAUCAAUGGUGCAACCUGAGUAGCUGUAGAAUUUGAGAUCUUGCAGAGUUGACCAGGCAACUUCACAUUUUGUGGUGAGGUUCUACUUUUGGUGUAGGAAGAGAGAACUUCCUGUUAAUCUAGCCAAAGGCUGUUUGCGUGUAUAAGUAGACAUAGCUUCAUUGCAGUCAGAAAUAAUAACUAGCGUCACGAUACUAUAUAAAACACAGACACUCUGCUCCUGAUGGUCCCAAGGCAGGACAGUACAUAGUGUUUAAGAAACAAGAGCAGAGCUCAUAUAGACUGGAAAUACCUUAAUUUUAAUUUUAUUAGAAUCAUAGAAUGGCCAGGGCUGAAAAGGACCACAAUGAUCAUCUAGUUUCAAAUCCCCUACUAUGUGCAGGGUUGCCAGCCACCACACCAGGCUGCCCAGAGCCACAUCCAGCCUGGCCUUGAAUGCCUCCAGGAAUGGGGCAUCCACAGCCUCCUUGAGCAACCUGUUCCAGUGCAUCACCAACCUCUGUGUGAAAAACUUCCUGCUAAUGUCCAACCUAAACCUCCCCUGUCUCAGUUUAAGACCAUUCCCUCUUUUCCUGUUACUAUCCAUCCAUGUAAACAACCAUAAGGAGCUGUUAGAGGACUAGAACCAGCAAAUAUCUAGCUUGUAAUGGGUUCUGCCUAGGACAUCCUCAAGGCUGCAGUAAUUUUAAAUGCUCUAAAACACUCAGAGGUGUUUCAAGCCAUAGAGAGUUCCAGUCUUGUCUCUUUUCAGGCAUAAGAACCUCCAGCAAGUAGUUCCUGAAGAGCUAGUUUGUGCCUCUGAGCCCAGUGAGACUGCUGUCAUGACUGUAGCAUCCACCCACUGCCCCUCUGUGCACGGUAACCCAGAGCUCAUCAUCCUAAAGACACAAGUCAAGCAAUGGAUCUACUUUACAAACUUAGCUCCUGGGAUCUUCCUCCUAAGAUUCAUUACAAUGUAAUUUCAGGAACCCACGUCACACCUACAAAACUUUCCUUUUAUUUUUUCAGCUGUUGAGUUGUGUUACAUCUCCUCAUGUCACGUCACAUUGAAUAGCAUUAUUGCCUUCAGAAAUGACGGGAUAGAGCGUGACUUAAUGUGUUUUGAAUGAUGUGACACUAUGUGGCAUAUGUCAUAAAAUCAUUGUCACCCAUCAAAAAAAGUGACAGAUCAAAUUCAAACAAAUCUUACUAUAUACUUUUAGUGGCUACCCAAUCAAGUAAAAACAAGUAUUUCAAAUUGUGAGCCAAAAGCGUGGGAGUGUGACUCAUUUUCGGUCAGUCCUUAUACUCUUAACUUGUUGUUUUACAUUUCUUCCACAUUUCUUCACAGUGUUAUAUCCAUUUGGUGGGGAAGAAACUUGUCUAGUUCAUUUAUAUUAUUCAAAUAUUGUUCAUAUUUGUCAGUCCAUUAUUUCUAAAAAGCUUUCAUAGUCGUUUCCAUGAAUCAUCUCCAUUUACCUUAUCUUUCCCGAUGCCUUUGAGUUAUUACUGUGUUAUGAAAGUAGCAAUGUUAUGGAAAAGGUUGAAUUUGUCAUCUCGCAAUGCAGCAAACGGAACUAUCAAGGAAAAGGAAAUAAUUUUCUGUAAUUCUACAUCUGAAGAAUACAGUAUCUAUUCAAAAAUACCAUACUAGUUUAUUUCCACACUACAUAUCUGCUCAUUGAAUAUUUCUCAUAAGAAAUGUAAGACAGGAGGGAGAAAAUUAAAAAUAGCUUUGCAAAUGAAUUGCUUCAUCUUCAGACUAAACCAACAUCAGUAUGGGAAUAAGCCCAAGCAGCUUUUCAAGAUUGGAGUUGGGACAACUGGCAAUAUCCAGCAAGUAGUACCAAAGUAUUACCAUUGGAGUAUUUGCAGAGUCAAAGACUGAAGCUUUCCAGAAGGGAAAGGCAGCAUCAUACAGUGAAGGGAUGUGAAAGAUAGCGUGGGUGCCAUCCACCAUUGUGAUCACAUAAGGGAACCCUGAAAUGUCAUAAAAUUCCACUUUGAUCUGUUGUCACUACUGUUGGUUGUAUGGAAAAUUAACACAUUUAAUUAACUGCCUGACCAAAGCAGCUGUUACCUUACAUAGAACCUUGAACACUGAUGCCCAGCAUAUCCCACUAGGUGUUUGAAUGUGCCAGUGGCAUAAGACUGAUUAUAUUUUUACUGAAUGACACAGCAUGAUUCUUCUUGCAACACGCUCAAGAUCUUCAAAUUCUUCACAGAGCCCAGUGAUGCUCCAGCCCAAAUUGCUUAAUAAUGCUGUUGUUCAGCCAACAGGAUACACUACACAUCAAAACAUGUCUGGGCCAAAACAGCUCCUUUAGCUGCUUUCGUUCUACAAGUGUUCCUGCUGCCUAGACCAUGGAUACAUUUGGCUUGUGAUUCCCAUCACUGGUAGUAGAAGUACUAUUUUAUUUAUAUUUAAUUUCUAUCAUUUAUGGCAGAUGGUUACUAGCCCUAAAUUUUUAAAAAUUAUCUUGGCUGCAGAAUUUCAAAUCAAAAGUGAACUAUCCAAGUCAGAGGCAACUUCAAGUUCAGUUAUUUUUACCAAAGUUAUUUUCAUAACAAUGAUCAUCCUGUGCAUGCGAGCAUACAAUUUUAUGCAUAGUUUUUUUGAUGCUUGGAAGUACUUUUCUACUAUACAUCUCUAUGUGUAUAGAUUUCUUUAUUUACACAUAUGUAUAUAUAAAGUAAGCCUUUUCUACAUAUAUGAAAUAUUUAUGAGUUAUUAUGUUAUUGCAUUAAUGAGAAGGAUAUCCUGGACAUAGAGGAACGUUUUGUAAAUGUCAUUGUCAAGUUAUAAAUCAAUGCUUUGAAAUACAGUAACCUCUGGACAUGGAGAAUUUUCUCUUUUAGUACUUCUACUACUGAUUAUCUCUCCAUUUUGUUUUUGUAGUAAAUGGACAGAUCAAUAUGAUGGGAAAAGGUGUUUCACUAGACGUAUAAUGAUGAAGGAUAAGCAUGAUAGACAGGUGCUAUAACAGAAGGGAAGAAGAUUGCUCACCUGUAUCAGAUGAUUCCAGGUUCACAAAGGAAAGCUCCAUCAAGGAGGGAUCUCCAGAAGGAGAUCCUUCUCCAGUGGCAGUCAGCCCUUAAAUGAGAUCUAAGAGAGGUGGAGCCAGGCUGCACCCCUUCCAGUCAUACAGGUGAAUUGUCUUCACCUGUGCUCCCAGGGCUGACCAGGUCCUUUCCCCAGGUGCUCAGUCAGUGGUUCAGGCUGUGACUCAACAGUUCCCAUAUGCCUUUCUAUGCUGUGAUAGCCACAGUGCACCAUAGCAAGCUAAGAGUGUACACUGCGCACAGAAGAGGACAGUUUCUCAGCCAGAAAGAAACUCGCACAGCCUCACCAAUUUCAGCAGAAAUAUUCAGGCUUAAUAUGUGGCCAUUAAAUAAUAUCUAACUUGCAUAUAGCGUUUUCUUCCACAGGUUUCAAAUCAUUGCAAGAGAAAUAGACCCCAGUCCUGCAAACACUUAUGUUUGCGUAACUGUGCAUAGGGGAAUAAUCCCAUUAAAUCAAUGGGAUUACUCGUGUGCAUAAAGUUAAGCAUGUGUGUAAGUGCUUGCUGGAGCUGGGCCUGAGAGAAAUGACAGGGUUUUUGAGCCACUCGUACAGCGGGUGUGAAUGUUCCUAUUCUGGUUGUGUAGCUUCAAACACUCCUCAAAGUCAAGUGGUAUUUAUAAGGAAAAAAAUUGCCCUUUUUUUUCCAUCAACUCAGGACAUUUUAAGAAUCUGUAAACAAUCUAUUGUCAUAACACAAGCACAGCUUAUAAAGAGGUCUCAAUAAAGCUGAAAAAAACAGUUUCAGGCUGAAUUCACUGACAGUUUGGGUGCCUACAAGGUCUUAUGACGUAUCCUUUCGUAUUUGCAAGUUUAUAUAAAGGGGCUUGAAUCUAAAGGUCGUAAACUAUGUGUAGAUGUGAAUCAUGCUUUAUUUCUUGAUAAUCUUCAUAGUCAAGUUGAAGUAGAAUUGAAAACUAAAAGAAGCAAACCAAUAGAAAUAGCAAUUAUGAAAUCAGGAAAGAAAAAGCAGUCCUGUUUGUACAUAAAGAGAAACCAAUUCAGCCUAAGUCAGGGGGCGCAAAAGUUCGCUGUGUAGGCAGGAGAUGACUGAGUCAGAAAUAUUUUGGGAAAAGAGCAAAGAUGGUAGAGAAUGCAAUGCUGUGCCUAAAAAAUCCUGUUAUCCAUCCAGAGAACAGCUAAGGACUUAGGAACAGAAAUUGAGUGAACUUAUCUACAGUUCCUCUUUCAAAGAGUCAUAGAAUGGCUUGGGUUGAAAGGGCCCUCAAAGAUCAUCUAGUUCUAAUCACCUGCUUCAAUUCUCAACCAGAAUUUAAACACUUCAGUUCUUAGGGUAGAUAAGGUCAAGGUAGAUAAACCCAAGCAAGGAUGUAUCUGCACAUCAUAUUCAUAGCUCCAUAACUAACAUAUUAGGUGAGUAUCCCCCAGAGAUCAAGAACUGGUGACUGAAACUGGAGAAAUUCAAUUUAUCCUUUCACUAUUUUGUUUAUUGAAUAAACCAAUGAUUUAUACUAUGUUGACUCAGACCCUUGUGCUGCAGAGCAGACCCUUGAAAACAGCCAGACUUUGAAAUACACACACAAAUAUUAAUAUACAAAUUAUUAGUAUAAAAUAGCAAAUAUGAGUAAGUGACAGUAUAAAGCAGACCAGAACUAGCCUGGCCCCUAUAUAUUACAGAAAUAAAAGUAGAAAAUUGUGUGUGGUCUUCCUCUGAUGCCAUACUCAGGAUUUUUAUUGCAAACACCUUUCUUCAAACACCCAUUUAACAUGCAUCCAUCUGUCAGGCGACGUUUUCCACAGCAGUGUUAAUGUGCAUGUGCCCCCUUCCACUUUGGUAGUUCACACCUUUAACUAGGGCUGGAGCCAGAGUGAAAUAAACAGGCUUCCACAGUUUGAGUAUGAAAGGCUCAAAAACGUGAGAGACGCUCCAUCAAAAAGAAGGGAUAAAACAAAAAACAAAGGACUGAGGAAGGGCAGAACACAGGUUUGAAAGGCAAUGGGCUUUAAAACCAUUCUUGCAGAUAUCUCUUCUGGAAAGUAAGAAUGAUGAGUGAUGAGUAAUAGCUUGGAGACAGAAUAGAAAGUAGUACCUGAUGAACACAUUCAUUGACUGAAAGAAGAACCCUUUGCUCAGCUCACAAGCAGAUGCUGUACCUCAGCUUGUUUAAAAGACUUCUGGUUUUAGAAUGCUUGUCCAGAAAGGCUUAAGAAGAAUUCUGCUUAAAAAGACUCCAGGAAGUUUUAGGAAGAGCUCCUCAAAGACUGCAUCAUUCUAAGCUUUAAGUUUCCCUAUGGCAUUUUACCUUUCUUCAGAAGAAAAGAAAUAAAUCAGGGAGAUAUGAAACUUGAAAAAAUACGCCAUGAAAGUUACCACCUUAAUGAAAUAUUAAAAAUGCAUCAGGAAUACAGUUCUGGCAUUAAAAAUAAACAAUAACAUUUCCUCCUAGUUACGGUUCACUUCAAUUCUUUAAAAAUUAAUUAUUACCUCUUUAAAUAUUUGAUUAAAUUAGAUUUGGGUGGGUUAUCGCUAUCCACAAAAUACACGUUGUUGUGUAUAAAUUUGCUUUCUUCAGUUUCUGACAUGUACGGGCGUGUUGUAUGGCUGUACGAUUAUUAGAAAACUAAAUUCAAUGGCUCUGUUCUGGCAGUUUGCAAAACAUAUACUACAAACUAUGUACUGAAUCCUGUCACUUUGGAUGAAAAUGCAGUAUUAUGUUAGAAAUCUCUAAUAAAAGAGGAAAAGUAAAGCAGCAGAAUUACAUUAUACUUGGGACUUUCACAUCGUAUCUUAUCAUGUUGGUAUAUCUCACGUGGUAGAAAGGCCACAUUAUUUUUAAAAAUGGUUAAUUAGGAUUUGGGGAUAAUAGCCUAGAAAUCAUAAGAAAUUGCUAGACACAUAAAGCCUAUUCUGCUCUCAAUGCAUGAGGAUUUAUAACUAUGUAGAUAGCAAGGAGAGAAUAAACCCUGUAGCAUGUCCUAGGAGAGGUAAGACAAUUAUUUCUCAAGUAUUUUGAUAAAAGCAAAUUAGUAUGUCCGACUGGAUAAAUAAGAAAUGCUGUUGGGUGGCUGCAGAGGCUGAUAUAGAGUUAUAAAAUAUUAAUUUAAGUGAAACACAUAUAUUAUAAAGGUAGUCUGUGAUGAUAAUAAUAACAAUAAAUCUUUUCUCUCCUUUUGCCCAUAUUUUACACAUAGAUUUAGGGCUGCUGGGGUGCUGGCUUGGCAGUCUAGUUCCCCUUUAUGAUCAAACAACCAAACAAUAGCAAAAGGUUUUUCAAUCUUUUUCCUUUUUCCCUGUUGGAGGAGAGGAUUUGAGAAUUAAGAGAAAGACUGUCAGUCCUUGGCCUCCAUAGCAGUAUUGCUAACAAGAAAACACAGAGGGAAAGGGUUUUUCUUGGCACUGGGGAUGAGGACGCGUACCAGCAGUGUUGCGACUCAGUUCAAUCUGCCUGGACCAGAGCGGAGUCAGCAGGGAUUCUGGUUGUAAGAGACCCAAACUAAGUUUAACCACGUGAUUUAGGGGGGAAAAAAAGGGAUUCAAUGCAACAUGUGCUAAAACCUCAGUAACCCAAAUUUUACUUAAUAAACUUCCCUUUAUAAAGAAGAUAUGGUGGUUGGCAACUGCCCAUAGCAGGGGGGUUGGAACUGGCUGAGCAUUGUGGUCCUUUUCAACCCAGGCCAUUCUAUGAUUCAUAACUGAAACAGCUAAAAAGGUGCAUGCUUUUAGAAAGAUCAGCUGAAGUGAAACUACCUGGAACCAAAAGUUCUUUCUGUUUUGUGCUUCUUCAAUAGAGAAAUGACUGAGUUAUAAAACCAAACAGAAAACAAGAAUGUUUGUGUUUGGGGAAUGUAAAUUCUUUUUUCAACUACAUUGAGAAUAUCCAACUUAAUCCUUGGGAAGUCAGCAUUUAAAAAAAAAAAAAAAAAAAAAGACUCUUCUUUUAAAUUAAUGUCACAAUAUCACAAUGCCAACAUCUGGCUCCUGACAGUAUACAUGUCACAUGGCUGCUUUGAAAUGGUAAUUGACUUUGUAAUAAAAAUAAAGAGUAGGUGUCUUCAGGCAAGCGUUCUUCCACAUCCUUCCCAUUGGUUAUGCGUAGCUCAGACUUCAGUGUUUAAAUGCUGUUGAACUGGUACAGUGGAUAGGAUUUCGUGUCACAGUACGCAUCCUCUCAUCAUUAAAAUGCACAAGUAAACAUCACCACUUUUCCUUUGAAGAAGAGUACCCAUCAGGAUACGUACUUUAUGCCAUAUACAUCUGAUAGCAACUCAGCUUCCUGCACUGAUUCAAACAGCUUUACCUAGUACUUAUUUUUUCAAACUGAGAUGCCUAACUUUGCAGAAAGACUAAGCUGUUGGCAUGAAAUGCACCCAUCUACCCAAGCAGCACAGUCUUCUCAGCCUAAAAUAGAACUAGAGUGGACUGAAGAGGCUGCAAAAGGCAUUCAUCUGCCCUUUUCUGUGAAGUAGAGACACCCAAAUAAUAACAGCAAAAUCCGGAGGAAUAUCAACUAUCUUGUGGAGAAUGAGAAAGAAAGUGCCUGGAAAACCAGCCUGCAGAUUGAACUCUCUUCCUGCUUCAGAGCCAUUCUUGGGUGCUUCAGCUCAACAGCUAUACACAGCUCUGAAGCACUCAGAGUGGUAGGGAAGGAAGCUGGGCACAGGCAAUAGCAUAGGAAAAACAUUUUCAUCAUUAUAUAUGUAAUAAUCCAAGCUUCAUUUGCAUACUUUGAUUUUGCUGUUCGGUAAGGUUUGGUCCCCGUGGCAUUCAGUAAGGUCACUUGAGGGGCAUUGGGAAGUAGCACGGAGAGGCAGUGGGGAGAGCUGGCCCAUGGCCAAGGAACCUGCCCAAAAUUGGAAAUAAGCUGUUCUUGUUUUUUGGGGGGGAAAAAGGGAAAAAAACAAACAAACAAAAAAAAGACCGCUUUGGAUGGGAAGGCUGUUUCCACAGCCAAGAGGAAUUAUUUGAGUUGGCUAAUGUAACACGGCCAGUUGAGCCUUUGCCUUUCGUAUCAUUACUUGCCUGCCUCCCUCCUCCUCGGGGCAGUCUGAAGGAAGGGAAGGAACAGACAGAUGUUCCUGGCCUGUGCUUCUGGGAUGUUAGAGCACAUCCAAGAGAUUUGUCACUCUCCAGAGGCACCCAGGUGGGAACUGGAACUCGCUGCUGGGUCGUGAGGGUCUCACUGUCAUCCUGGGAAGUUGUUAAUGAAAUCCCAGGACUUUUCCAAUUGCAAAAUAAAUAGGAAAAAUAAUAAAACAAAAAAGGAUAAAACAACAACAACAGGAAAAAAAAAAACACAAAUUUAUGUGAAGGGAGGGAAGAUGCAUUCAUCUUCUCUACCACUUCUGUUGCUUUUUGUUGCCCUUAGAAAAGCAGGCUGGUCCAAACAAGAAGGAGGUGGCUUCUGGCCAUUCCUCUUCUGCCAUUCUUACAGUAAAAGAAAAAAAGAGAAAGAGAAAAUUGAAUUUUUAGUCAACAGUUUUCACAAAAGACCAGGAUCCUGUCCUGCAAACCCCAGAUGGAAUGGCCAGGCAGGUCCCUAUGGGAUCCCAGUGUUUCAGUGGCCCAGGUCAUUGGAGUUUUGGGUUAAGGGAGUAGUAGGUGGCAAGUUGGCAUCAGUUUGUGUUGCCCUGGUGGGUCUCACUGUCUUCUGCAGCCCAAGAAUACUUAUAUCCACAUAGUAAUGAUGAAGAUUCAUUUGUAAGGAUGAAAACCCCAUAAAUUCUGGUGUGAUUUAUUCACUCAAACCACACAGAGCAUGCAAGAUAAAGUCAGAUCAUACAAUCUAAUGAAAAGUAGGUUCUGGCAUUAUUCCACCUAUCACAGAACUGUCCUCAGACUGGAAAUAAAAGCUCACAGCAUUCUGCUCCUCAAGAGUAGGCACCAUUACUUUAGGAAAAGGAAAUUAGUUAUGGUGAUAUCAAAGCUAUAGGUCAUUCUCAGAGAGACAUCUUUCCAGUUUUUAGGGGAUGAUGCAAAGUUGAAUGUCAUGAGUGCGUGGGAACCAUCAGCAAAUAUAACUAGCUACAAAACAUCAACAUGGCUGACAUUAAUGGCUCAGAAUAGAGUCGAUUCUGCAUUUUUUUUCCUCCACCUUUCCUCUCUUCCUGUUGUCAUGUGAGGCACACUCCCAGCCUGAACACAUCACAUAAUUCCUCUUUGGUUCUCUCGUUGCAGCUCAUAUGUCCUUCAUUCUCACACCAUAUUUAAAAUCACUACAUAAUUCAAUUUUUGUAGGAACACAUUUACUCCCCUGUAUUCAUCCCAGAGAAGGAGGAAUUUUUUGAUGAUUUUUUUUUCUUGCAGUGCUCAUUCUCAUGCCCUUUCCCCUCUGCAGUGACAGUCAGUCUUCCUCUGAUCUACUCAAAAACAAAGAAUAAAUGAUAACAUACUGCUGUCGGUGCUAUAUUUCCUCGUAAUUGAUAUACUUACUUCCUUUAUAGAGGUGUUUUACCUUUGGACCUCUUUUUCAAAUAAAGUGGCGCGCUAUCAGCAAGAUAUAUUCAAGAGCAAAAACAUAGAUGAGCUGCAAGACAAGAAGAGUGCUUUCUGACCAAGCAAUUCAAUCAUUUAUAUGCCCUUUCCUUCCAAUAAUGUGCUCCCAGGGAAAGUAUCCACCAUACCUGCAGUGCUCUGGCCAAAUUCCAGUUCGGGUAAUUACGUUCUGCCUGUCUAAACUCUGCCUGGAGUUUCAUUUGGAGGAAGCAUUGUUUGCUCCCAGCCCAUUGUUGUGGGCACACGGAUCAGGUGCUGGGCUCGUCUCUGCAGGAGCUGGCUGGACUCCAGCCCUGGAUGAAGUGAGAUGCAAGAGCAGAGCAGCUUGUGCUAAAUUUGCAAAGCGUCAGGAGAUCUUUGGAGUGAGAGGUGCUGUGUAAAUGGGAGGUCACCGGUGCUAUCUGGGGUGCAAAUGCAUCCCUGCUCAGAAGCUUCAUGGGGAAAAAAAACAACAACAACAACGACAACAAAACCAAUCAGGAAAAGGUCUCUUGAAAACGUUUCACAUGUAUCCUGACACGUGUUUGAAAUUCAUUUUGCUACAGCGUGUGUCUUCCCCAAAGGGUAGAUUCAUAGCUUAAAAGAUGUUCAGGAAAGUGUCCUCAAAAGAGGGACAGCAUCACAGGCUGGAGCAUGGACAGGCUGCAGCUGGCCCAGGACAGGAGGCUGGGUACUGCAGAGCCUGCUCUUCUGCCACACUAAUCUGUCCUUGGGGUCCUGCAGCACAGGGCAGAUGUGGCUUGCAGGUAUGGGGACAAGGGGACACAUGGAAGACAAGUGCUCACCACCGGCAGCCCUCAUCAUGCAGUGAUGGAUGUUCCCAGCUUUUCAGUUCUCCUCUGGAGAACACCCCCUUCUCUGUCCUCACUUAUGCUCUGUCCUGCCAUUACACAUUCAAAACUGGCCUAAUCCCUUGUAGCCGAGCUGCAACAUCCCGAGGGUGCCAGGUGAUGCCCUUAGCAGAGGCCUGAGCCCAUCCAUAGUGCUUCCAAGCUCUAGAAGAGCAGCUAGCUCUUGGUGGCUAAGCCAUGGUUGGGGCAGUUUUUAGACAUGAUAGGUGCCCAUCAAAACAAGCAGUAUGGUGACACAUGAAAACAGCAAGCUAACUUCUAGCUACAAGAAUGCUGAUAUUAUAUGCUGCCAGGAUGUUUUGGGAACAGCUGCAAACCAACAUCCAAAAUAAUCUUUCCCACUGCAUCCCAUUUGUUGCAAUGUUAAAAUUGCUGACCCCUCUUUUUAUUAGCUAGUACCCAGUCUUCCCACAAGUUCACCUGUACAUUCUUCCAUCCUUUCUUCAUGUUUGCAUUGCAAUAUUGCAUUACUUAUAUCACGUUACACAUUUGCUUUGGUCCCCAUCCUGCUGCUUUUGGCACUUCUGCACACUGCCAUUACUCACCUACCUCCUCCUAACACCGUAAUCGAGCUCCUGUGACCAACUUCUUCUCACUUCAUCAUUCUUCCCUUUUCCUUUCGCUGCUACUCAACGUUCAUCUGGAAACCUGAUUGGGUGAUGGGGGCUCGUGAUCAGUCACUGAAGCAACCUUAAAGGGACAGAAUUUCUAAUGGAAAUUGAAUCCAAAAGGUUGGAUUCCGUUGGGAAAUUUCAAAUUGACAAAUUUUCUGAAUGGAUCUCUUCUAACCUUGCUGUGUAUAAUAUAUGCAUUUAUUGAGCUUAAUUUUUGGUUAGUAUCAAAAUGUAUUGAUCUGCAAGAUAAAUAUUGACUUGACCUCGCUUUCUCUCAGUCUAUAUUUACUUCUUGAGUCAAUAAGUCUAGAAACUGAUCUGACAGGAGUCAAUAAUGGUUUAAAAUUCUCAAAAUAGCAGCUUUGCUCUAAGGUUGCAGUUCUUUAUUUUAAAGUUACUGCCUUAAACACGUAACCACUCAGGAGAAGUUAACACUUUACUGCACAAAGCCACUGGGGAAACACGCAGAUGCCAGGAGACCUUGAAGCGACUUCAGGCCAACUGUGCCAUUUCAGCACUGGCCAAGCUGUAUUUUAAAUAUUUUCAUAGUGACUUACUGCAGUCCAUCUUUUGCCCCGUGGAUCCUAAAAAUGUGAGCUUAUUUCUGGAGGUUACGCCUGCAUAUCACUGAUUGGAUUUGUCAGGGCUAAACUGUCUUCAGCCUUGGGAAAAUGCAAAGCUUGCUAAUGGGUAAAGGUUGUCAUCAUGAACAUUCCCUCUCUGCCUUAAUUUCUCUGCUCUGUGAGCUGGUAAUUAGCCUAGAAAGACUUUUGGAGUCAAAUGGGAUCGUAUUCUUUCAGUUUCUUCUAGUGUGGUAGACAUGUAUCCAGCCCAUGUCUUCAUCUAGCAGUGCUCUUCAUGAUUCUGAAGUUCAGUUUCCGGUUCCUGGAGUUCCUGUCAGAGUAACUUCAUUAGUAGACAGUUUGAUCACUCCUCUUAGUUGAGCCCAGUGCUACUUUAAUACCUGAGAAAAUACUGUAAUGUGAUGUAAAGAAAACUGUAAGCAUCAGGUAUUAUCCCAUCCCUUAGAUGUUUUCCACUUCGUUAAAGGUAAUCCCAGGAAUGAAAAUGAAGGCACCCCCCCCCCCCCCACCUCACCAUAAAAUAUAAGGAAGCAACAGGGUGAGUCAUGCAUUUUUAAAUAUACUUGAGAAAUUGAAAGGGUUGGGAAGCAGAAGUUGGGGGGUGAAGUCCAAAAAUCUGUCCUAGGAAAUUUUCUUUAAGACUUAUUUUCCCCAGAUGUUAAUACAGGUAGUCUUUAGAGAAGAUAGUGUGCAGGGCAAUAGGUUCUAAUUAAAGCAAUCUUACCCCCGUAUUCAUCUAUCAACAUAUUUUACUAGUGGGUGAAGCAGGAAGCGAAGCAUAUAAUAUACUUAAGACUACGUAGGUACGAUUGGAUGGGAAGGAAAGCAGUUACUUUUCAUUCUCUCUGCGCUAAUAUUACACAGAAAGGACUAGCAAUGGCAGGAAAACAGCUUUCCAAAUGGAAGAAGGGAAAAGGAAAAGCAGCAUUCCCACUUAGACAGAGGCAAAACCCCAUGCUAAGUGGGCAAAGUUCCUCACAGCAGAGAAAAACAGCCACACCAGAAUAUUAACAAGCCAGGAAUCACUGCACAAAUAGUGUGAGAUAUUGUUUCCAUUCCCCGGUCGCAAGGAACGAGAGGAAGGUUCAACCACCCUGCAGGCAUUCUGCCCUGCCAUUACCUUUAAUGAAACAGAGAGAAUCACAGCCUUGGAGAUUCCCCACUCCUCGGACAAGAGCUCCUGUCCUGAGCUGUGCAAAUAGUUAAUGCAGACAGACAUGGAACGAUUACAGCUGGAAAUACAGAGAGGGGUGGAAAGAGAUGCUCUGGCUGCCACGGUUGGGCAGCCCCGCCGCAAAAGGGGAGUGAUGGUUUGCCGUUCCUAGCUGGGAUGAGAAGUCCUUUCCUAGAACUGAAAUCUCAUUCCUGGUUGAAAUGGAGGGAUGGAUUUCUAUGAAAAGAAUGUUCAGAUUUUGAGAACCGGUGUUCUCUGAUGUGAAAUCACUCUGCUGAAAAGUCUUCAGCCAGCCUCAGUGAUUUUAAUUAAAUAGCAACGGCCGCGUGUUGAAAUUUGCAGUCGCUGUCCCCAUUUGCUUGUGGGUGUUGAAAAAUAACCUUAAAAAGAAAACAACAAAGUUUACUCUUUACUCAGCAACUUGAACAGAUUUCAACUAAUUCUGUAGUUGGGAGGAAUGCGUUCAAAGACAGAAAUUUUCUUGACUGAGAUCAUCAGAGCCUCGAGCUGAAGCAAUUGUGCAACUGAGGAAAGUAUUCGGGCUUAUUUCACAAGAAUUAUUUACUCUUUAUACAAUUAAUUCACACCUACAAGGAAAAAAAAAAUAAAACAAAGGGUUCAGAGAAACUCUCUGUCUCCACUGAUAACUUCAAGAUGCUCAUCUGAACCGGGGCCUGAAUUUCUCCAGCGAGAAGUGGAGAGUGCUCAUCCAAAACCAUUUAACCCAGCAGUCCUCGAUUUGUGCCUCUGCACCCGCGUGGAGAGAUGCUCACGGAGGGGAGAAACCCAUCUUCCUUUUCUGUGUUCUUUCAAAUAAACAAAAAGCAGCUCGCAGCCUUCCUCUUUUGUAUGAGUGAAAACAACCCCUUUUUUAUUAGCGAUAUUUUUUUAAAUAUUAGAAAAGGGGACAAUAUGCUAAAAAUAUGCAGCGAACAAAUAUCAUCUGUACAGACUGGAAGAGAACCUUCAUAAAUUAACCUUAUUAGUGCAUUACUGUAAGUGAAUGCCAAAAAAGCUCCUAAUUUGCAUUAAGAUAGAUUUUUCAGGUUGGCUGCAUGAUUUAAUUAAAGAAAAGAUUAAGAAUCAUUAAACAAGCUGCUCUACCUUGCAAUAACAGAAUUCAUAUCUGAUUCAGGUUAACGAAAACACAGAUGGUGAUUCAGUAACUGUUGAGUUGCUGUAACAGAAUGAAAAUGAUCCCAUUAGUUCUCUGGAAAUGUGAGGGAAUUUGAAAAUUAGCAUGCAGAUACAUUGUAUGGUGCUAGACAGCUUGGUCUGCUUGGAUCAUCACUGAUUACUCUUUGUUUGGGUUGGCAACACUGAACUUAAUAAAUGAAAAAAUGUUCCAGUAUACCACAGUUGGAAACUGUUCAAGGUUGAAAUAGGUGUGCAGACUUUCAAGAAGAGAGAGUUAAGUAAACAAAUGUCAAUCAAUUUGGGGCUGGCAAUGUUUUUUCCUUCCAGAAUGUCUGUUCUUGAGAAGCAAGUGUCAUCAAAAUUGAAAUCCUUUCCUUGAUACAUAUGUUCGUGUGGUAUUUAUUAUUACAAAGGUAUUUUAAAUGCAUAUCGUUUACAAAGGAACAUCCACAGCAUUUUGACGCUAAAAGAGGAGAAGAGCUCAGAGAAGAAUGGAUCAGGUUAUGUGUAUUAUUGACGAAGAAGUCAAACUGUUGCUGCAAAAAAGGUAAUAACAGAAGGAGAUGUAAAAUAUAGGUAGAAACCCUUCUAAAUAUUUCAGCGAAUUCAAUAAGGCACAUAAAAUGAUCACUGUCAGCCCAUCUGGGAAAGCAGCGCAUAGACAAGUGCAGGAGUCAUUUCAGUCAGCGCAUGAAAUUUUCGAGGCACUCUCACAGAGAUAACUGCAUUAUGUAGUUUAUAAUACCUGAAUCACAGCAACCUUACGACUCUAAGCAUGAGAUUUUGAUGACGAAUCUUGCUGAGAACACUGCACAAAGAUCAGCAACCGCGUUUCCCAAUGCGUAUAGCCACUCAUUUUGUUGCAUUAUCUGCUCGACAGCAAAACAGAAGUGUGUCUUGUCUUUCCCAGAGGUUUUUUUCCCCCCUUUUCUUUUUGACUUCUUAAUUUUAUUGCGAGUGACUUCAAGGCCAAAAGGUUGUGGGUAGGGUGUUACAACAGAAAAGGAGGUUGUAACACUCAGACUUUUAGGUUAAAAUGUUCUCUGCUUAUCACGUGUUAAGAUCUUUCAGAAAUGAUGUAAUGCACCAGGGACUGUGGUGCUACAUUUGCAAACCACCUUUUUUUUAAUCAUUAAUUGACAUCAUAUAAUAAUGUCCAGCUCACUACUCCCAAAGUGAUGGUAAUUAAUCUUGUGGAAAAAAAAAAAAAAAAAAAAAAAGAAAGACAUUUCUAGCUUUUAGCAUGGAAAGGUCAUAAACAGGUUGUCUUAGGUUUGACUGGAUUUUAACCAUCUGAUCAAACUCUUCUUUUUUUUAGAUUUUUUUUCUUUUUUUUACAUUACCUUGUUUUUUUUAACACAUUUUUCAGGAUUGUAUAUAACAGAGAUAUCCUCAGCAACUUGGCAGUGUUUGAAAGCACAUGUUAUUACAAACAAGCGUGUCUUAGUUACAGAGGAAACCUUUUCUGUUCUUCCAUGCCCAGCACUUUUUUUAAUGGCUUUAGAGACGUUUUGCUACAUGAUAUACUGCAAAACAUCUUUUUUUUUAAUUCUCUCAUUUCAGGGUCAUAGUAUGGUCUCAAACAAGGGAAAUCACAAGGAAAAUUAUCAUUAAAUAUUUUCUCAGUGCCCCAGCUUGUCCUAUAGCAGCUAAGUGUUCUGCUUCCGUACUGAUCGUACUGCUUGGUUUUUUCAUCUGCUUGCAGCUCCAACUCCUUUCUUGGCUCUCUGAGCAAGAAUGAGAAGGAGAAGGACUGUGAAUUGUUCACAGAGUCUUCCCUGUGAAACCGUACAAUCGAGGAAGAUGUUAAGGGAUAGUUACGCUGUGCACUCCAAGGCAGUGUUGGUAGAAAAGGAUUAGAAUACUGACUAAAGAGAAUAGAUCAGGAUAUUAACUGCCUGAUAUCAAAUGAUCUCAGGAUAUUUUGGUGGUUGCUGCUGCAAAACUGAGCAGACCUUUUAAAUAUUCUGAGUUAUUUCCAUGAAAGCCAGAUGGAGCAAAAGAGGAUAUUUGGUUCGGUAUUUGAUUUAUGUUAGUGCAUUUUUGUUUGGAUGAGAACUGUGAGAACCCGGUGGUUUUGGUUCAUGGGAGAUCUGGCGCAUCACUGUUUUGGUUUUGAUUCAAGCGGGUUCACAUCCCCCGAGUUUCACUUUGACUUUUGAGUUUGAACAAAUCCAAAAAUUUCCAAACAAACCCCUGAUGGAACCGCUAGCUUUCACAUGGUUUCCACCCAAAAUUGUAAACUUUGCCCCCUCUGCAAAUGGAAGAUCAUAUUCAAAGAAAUAUGCUUUCCAAAUUGCAUUAACAGAAGUUAUUUUUAAGUCAAGAGAGGAAGAUGACCCAAAUUCUUCAGAUUUCUCCAGAACACAGGGCCCAAAAGUCCAACUGACCUUCUCAGAAAUCCAAAUUGCAAUGAAGGUAAUCAUGCAUGCAGAAAAUAUCAUCCCAAGGGUUUGAGUUUUCUUUCUUGAGAAAACACAGGUACAUCAUCCCUACCUCUACCAUUAAUUUGCAUUGGGCAUUUCAACUGUGCGUUAAGCACAGCAGCCUUUCAGGACACAGCUCUGGCCAGAAGAUGCCAUUCCCCUAAAAGAAGGUUUUCUCACAUUCUGUGGGGUCAUCUAAAAUGGAAGCUUCAGCAGAGACAUUUGGAUGCUUGACAGGACCUUCUUGUAAACGAUGUGUCCUUGGCCAGUACGAGAAAACCUCCCAAGUGAAUAUAUCACAGAAAAUCAGGCAUACAGUUCUGGCCCUUGUUAAGAAAAAUAGAUAAUGAAAAGCAGAGAAAUCUCUGAACAUUCAGAAAUAACUUUCAUAAAUAUCCUCAAAGGAGAUGAUUAUAUAUUCCAAAUCAAAUACCUCAGAGACAUAGAGACAUACGUAUUCCAGUAGGCUCCCUUUUAAAAGUAUUAUUCGCCAUUUUCAAUUUAUGCUUCCACUAAAUCUUAUUUAUCAUCAUGCUUUUCUCAGCUGAUUAAACCCAGAUAACAGUAACUUUUUUUUUCCCAAUACUGGAUUUACAGACGUCUUCAAAAAUAUUUAAUACUUUUCUACUGAAAGUUUAUUAUGGACAUCAAUUAACUUACAGUUCUUUGGUGUAAAGUAAUAGCAUUGCAUUUACUUUUCACUCUCACUCUGAGUCUCCCAUUUUCUUUUUCUCUCCUGCUUUUGGCAGAUUUGACUUGGUGUCUUUAGGAUGUUUGGUACUUCCCAGAAAGAAAUUACAGAAUCCAGCAGCUUUAACCAGGUUAAUGCUGCACGUCUAGCACUGGACACAGAGCUGACAUUUCACAGGAGGCUGGAAUGUUCUCCAUUAUCUCUGUGGAAGCACUUUGUAAACUUGGAUGGGAUCCAGUUAAGGAGCCAAAAACAAUACUGUGGAAAUUACCUGGCCAGUCAAGUCUAUUAAAAGUGAGUCACAGAUAACAUAAGCUAAAGCCAGUAAUUCCUUCAAGCAAUCCAUGAACAUACUGUAAGUUGAAAAUGAAAUAAUUUAGAGUAAUGAGGACAUAUUAACAUUUCAGCGUGAAUAAAUAACAAAAAUCAUAUCUAUGUUUGUCUGAAAAAUGAUCAGCUUUCAAUAUUGGAGCCAGUCUGAUUCCCCAUGUGUCUGGGACCCUGGACAUGGCAAACAGCAUGCAACUUUACACCGCAUCCUGAAACACCCUCGGGGGCAAACUACGGGACCCUGAGAAGCUCCCAGCAUCACGCAGUGCUACUGGAUCAGAUCUCGGUAUGUGUUCCCAUGACACUCAAAAGUAGGCAAAAGAGGCCCAUUUUCCCAAGUUUGUAAACAGAAUGCAACUUACUUCAAGCAAAAACGGUGAGAAAAUUUCAGAGAAUUUUUUCAAGCAUCACGCCUUGUCACUCGUGGGAUCUGGGAAAGUAACUGUGUUGCAAUAAAAUGGACCGUAGGCUCUUUAUGAAACAGGAUGGAAUGUUUAUACUUGACUAUUAUGGUGAUGGCUGUUAUUGAAAACAAAGAAUGAAAGAAAGCAAAGAUAGAUAAACAUAUUAAUUAUGUGUCAAACCACAGGAUACCUCUUAGGACACUGUGAUGGGAAGACUCAAAUACUGCAGCUAACUUUGCUUAUUUUCAGUGUAUUUCAUUUUGGGCUUUAUAUUAAUCUUUAGGGAGAAAUGAAUUUCAGAAUUAGUAUUUGAUGUGGUGACCUUCUGAAUUUCUUCCUUAUGUUUAAAGUGAGGGUGAGAUCCAUCCAGCAGAGAAUCGAGGUGGUGACAACACAUGUGAUCCUCACUUACAUGAACCCCCAUGCUUAGGUGGGCACUGGGAACGAGUGUUCCUAUGUCUAACCUGCACUGGAAGUUACUGAGCUAUGGAGGGACAAGUAUUUCCCUGCCUUUAUACCCUACUGAGAGAAUUUUAAAUUCACUCAGCUCAUUCCCUGUAAUUUCUCUCACUGGCCCAAUAAAAAAGGCAUCAUUUUCUGUUUUUCAAAAUCAAAAUUCAGAGGCAGAAAUGCAGCCACAUUAGAAAGGCAGAAAUACCUUUUAGAGUCUGUGCUCCAGCGUAUAGAAGACCUCCAAUUAAAGCCACUCUCUGGUCAAGCUGGCGCUUCUGUUUUAAUUGCACCCUCCUGUCACCUUGUGUAUUAUUAUAAUUUUUUUCAGUGCAUGUGAACAUUUCAGAGCUCCCCAAAUGAAAUUGGGGCUGUCAAGUGAUGUGAUGCUGCGUCACCAUGUAGAUGAUGGCCAAGAGCCAGCUCUGCCAGCACUCUGCUUUGUACUGUCCGGGGGAGAGAGCUGAUUCUUCAGCAGCGUCUAAUCAGUUUAAAACAAAUCUGGAAGAUGUUACUAGAAGACGAGAUGAGAUCCAGACCACAGCAGCCUCUGCAUACAAAGAAGUGAAGGAUUUCUUCUGAGAACAAAAUUAAAGAGGUGGAAAGAACACUUGGCAGUUUCAACACAAUUAUGACUGAGAAUAAGAAGGAGUGUACUACUGGUUGAGGAAAUGGGACUACUGGUACCUUGAGAAAGUACACAGAGAUAUCAAGAUCUCAGAUCUCCUGGUCAGCACUGGAAAAUUUCCCUUAAAUUCAUCAGCUCCUGGUUAAUUCUUGAAAAGAAACCAAGGCCGAAGAAGUUAUAAGGUAAAGAUGACACAUUUAUCUAAUAAAUCAGGAGGUAUUAAAAAAAUGCACGCUUUGGAUUUGUGUAACGUCUUCCAUCUGAGUUCCUCAAAAGACUCCAGAAGCUGUGUGCUUUCUGCCCCAUCACAGAUAACACAAAGGUCUCCAUUCAUCUUACCAAUGCAUUAUCUAGAAACCUCACAGAAGGCCUGGAUCACACAAACAUACUCAUAAAUGAGAAACUCCAAAGGUUUUCUUCGGGCUGUUUUUCUGGAAAAGUUCAUUUCCUUUGGACACUUUGCAGUAAAGGUGUGAUACAAAGAAAUGAUGGCAGAAAACCAAAUAUUUUCCUGCCUGCAGGCACCUGACCUGGCUCAGAGAUCAGCAUCCAACAUAACACGACCAAGACCCACAUUUUAGUUCUUGCAGGAAUUGACUGAGAGAGCAAGUAUGAAACAUAAGUACGUAGAAGGGGAAUGGAAAUAGUUAGGAAAGUGGCAGAGGAGCUGCUGGCACCUCUCACUGUUAUGGGAAGAGGUGAGAGAAGGAGGCAUCUCUGGAGACACAUUUCCCGAACAUAAAGCAGAAAACAGAAAGUAACUGCUAGCUUCCAUUUGAAACGAUCACAGACACGUUCUAUAGAUCAACUAUUACCAGG